GGAAAGGCGCGCGAUACAGGGUGACAGCCCCGUACACAAAAAUGCACAUGCUGUGAGCUCGAUGAGUAGGGCGGGACACGUGGUAUCCUGUCUGAAUAUGGGGGGACCAUCCUCCAAGGCUAAAUACUCCUGACUGACCGAUAGUGAACCAGUACCGUGAGGGAAAGGCGAAAAGAACCCCGGCGAGGGGAGUGAAAAAGAACCUGAAACCGUGUACGUACAAGCAGUGGGAGCACGCUUAGGCGUGUGACUGCGUACCUUUUGUAUAAUGGGUCAGCGACUUAUAUUCUGUAGCAAGGUUAACCGAAUAGGGGAGCCGAAGGGAAACCGAGUCUUAACUGGGCGUUAAGUUGCAGGGUAUAGACCCGAAACCCGGUGAUCUAGCCAUGGGCAGGUUGAAGGUUGGGUAACACUAACUGGAGGACCGAACCGACUAAUGUUGAAAAAUUAGCGGAUGACUUGUGGCUGGGGGUGAAAGGCCAAUCAAACCGGGAGAUAGCUGGUUCUCCCCGAAAGCUAUUUAGGUAGCGCCUCGUGAAUUCAUCUCCGGGGGUAGAGCACUGUUUCGGCAAGGGGGUCAUCCCGACUUACCAACCCGAUGCAAACUGCGAAUACCGGAGAAUGUUAUCACGGGAGACACACGGCGGGUGCUAACGUCCGUCGUGAAGAGGGAAACAACCCAGACCGCCAGCUAAGGUCCCAAAGUCAUGGUUAAGUGGGAAACGAUGUGGGAAGGCCCAGACAGCCAGGAUGUUGGCUUAGAAGCAGCCAUCAUUUAAAGAAAGCGUAAUAGCUCACUGGUCGAGUCGGCCUGCGCGGAAGAUGUAACGGGGCUAAACCAUGCACCGAAGCUGCGGCAGCGACGCUGAUGCGUUGUUGGGUAGGGGAGCGUUCUGUAAGCCUGCGAAGGUGUGCUGUGAGGCAUGCUGGAGGUAUCAGAAGUGCGAAUGCUGACAUAAGUAACGAUAAAGCGGGUGAAAAGCCCGCUCGCCGGAAGACCAAGGGUUCCUGUCCAACGUUAAUCGGGGCA
rnacentral:rRNA from 1 species